rnacentral:rRNA from 1 species
GAUGAACGCUGGCGGCGUGCCUAAUACAUGCAAGUCGAGCGAACGGACGAGAAGCUUGCUUCUCUGAUGUUAGCGGCGGACGGGUGAGUAACACGUGGAUAACCUACCUAUAAGACUGGGAUAACUUCGGGAAACCGGAGCUAAUACCGGAUAAUAUUUUGAACCGCAUGGUUCAAAAGUGAAAGACGGUCUUGCUGUCACUUAUAGAUGGAUCCGCGCUGCAUUAGCUAGUUGGUAAGGUAACGGCUUACCAAGGCAACGAUGCAUAGCCGACCUGAGAGGGUGAUCGGCCACACUGGAACUGAGACACGGUCCAGACUCCUACGGGAGGCAGCAGUAGGGAAUCUUCCGCAAUGGGCGAAAGCCUGACGGAGCAACGCCGCGUGAGUGAUGAAGGUCUUCGGAUCGUAAAACUCUGUUAUUAGGGAAGAACAUAUGUGUAAGUAACUGUGCACAUCUUGACGGUACCUAAUCAGAAAGCCACGGCUAACUACGUGCCAGCAGCCGCGGUAAUACGUAGGUGGCAAGCGUUAUCCGGAAUUAUUGGGCGUAAAGCGCGCGUAGGCGGUUUUUUAAGUCUGAUGUGAAAGCCCACGGCUCAACCGUGGAGGGUCAUUGGAAACUGGAAAACUUGAGUGCAGAAGAGGAAAGUGGAAUUCCAUGUGUAGCGGUGAAAUGCGCAGAGAUAUGGAGGAACACCAGUGGCGAAGGCGACUUUCUGGUCUGUAACUGACGCUGAUGUGCGAAAGCGUGGGGAUCAAACAGGAUUAGAUACCCUGGUAGUCCACGCCGUAAACGAUGAGUGCUAAGUGUUAGGGGGUUUCCGCCCCUUAGUGCUGCAGCUAACGCAUUAAGCACUCCGCCUGGGGAGUACGACCGCAAGGUUGAAACUCAAAGGAAUUGACGGGGACCCGCACAAGCGGUGGAGCAUGUGGUUUAAUUCGAAGCAACGCGAAGAACCUUACCAAAUCUUGACAUCCUUUGACAACUCUAGAGAUAGAGCCUUCCCCUUCGGGGGACAAAGUGACAGGUGGUGCAUGGUUGUCGUCAGCUCGUGUCGUGAGAUGUUGGGUUAAGUCCCGCAACGAGCGCAACCCUUAAGCUUAGUUGCCAUCAUUAAGUUGGGCACUCUAAGUUGACUGCCGGUGACAAACCGAAGGAAGGUGGGGAUGACGUCAAAUCAUCAUGCCCCUUAUGAUUUGGGCUACACACGUGCUACAAUGGACAAUACAAAGGGCAGCGAAACCGCGAGGUCAAGCAAAUCCCAUAAAGUUGUUCUCAGUUCGGAUUGUAGUCUGCAACUCGACUACAUGAAGCUGGAAUCGCUAGUAAUCGUAGAUCAGCAUGCUACGGUGAAUACGUUCCCGGGUCU